UAGCCAGACUCCUACGGGAGGCAGCAGUGGGGGAUAUUGCACAAUGGGGGGAACCCUGAUGCAGCGACGCCGCGUGGGUGAAGGAGCGUUUCGGCGCGUAAAGCCCUAUCGGCAGGGAAGAAGGAGGACGGUACCUGACUAAGAAGCCCCGGCUAACUACGUGCCAGCAGCCGCGGUAAUACGUAGGGGGCAAGCGUUAUCCGGAUUUACUAGGUGUAAAGGGAGCGCAGGCGGUUCUGCAAGUCUGAUGUGAAAGCCCGGGGCCCAACCCCGGGACUGCCCUUGGAACUGCAUGGCUGGAGUGCGGGAGGGGCAGGCGGAAUUCCUGGUGUAGCGGUGAAAUGCGUAGAUAUCAGGAGGAACACCGGCGGCGAAGGCGGCCUGCUGGACCGCGACUGACGUUGAGGCUCGAAAGCGUGGGGAGCGAACAGGAUUAGAUACCCUCGUA
rnacentral:rRNA from 1 species